rnacentral:lncRNA from 1 species
GCUUAUGUUGCUGAAAUGUGAUAAGAUACAAGUUUCACUGGAAAUAUCAAUCUAUCCAGAUAAAUAGUUUUAAUGGAUGAGUGGGAAUUAUUAAAGUUUUUCACCUCUAAACUGAAGCAUAACCUGUUGAUUAUUUUUUAAAAAUAAAGCAGACAUACUGCAUACAGUUUGAAUUCUCACGUCGUUCGCGUUACAACUGAAGGUGAAGGUUGAGAAAUCCGAAGAAGAGGCCAUUCUAGGACCUAACCAAGCCGUGUAUCUCAACAUGCCGGCUGUAGAUUAACACCGAAAACUUAAAAACGAACGAAACAAAUGCUUGUUAUAUAAAAGGAUGGCAUGUCUGAACACAGCUAGUAAGUCUAUCGUUAUUUUUAUGCCAAAAAGUUGUUCCCUGGCCUUCAAAACCUCCAGCCUCUUCUUUUAUAGCUUGAGCGUUAUCUGGAAGAAAAAAAAAUCUGAUUUAUGGAUUUAUUUUUCCAAGUCUCUAUAAAACUUCACAUCUCUGUUAUUUACAUGCUCUUCUUCUGUUUUCUAUUUCUUGUCAGAUGAAGGAUCCCAAACCACGCUGGGAUAGCUGCAAACUUUUAAGGAGCGUUUGGGUGUUGAUCUCUUAAACGACCGACAAAACAAGACAUGUCAUUGUAUUGUUGGUUUUUAUCGACCUCCAUCGCACAGGUUCUGCUGUCAUUUAGCAGUAAAAGUGCGGUCCUUCCAGCGAGUACAUCCCAAGAGCAAGAGACCCCAGCGUUGACACAGGAUCUGGGAAGAAAAGCCGGGUGACAAAUCCUGCACUUAUCCGAUCGGCACGUGCGAGCGACAAGCCAGGAGGAGCAGCCCAAUAAACACGAGUACCGCGUUCACCGGUGUAAACGCGGUGCCGCACCGUCGCGCGCUGGAUCGCCGACAAACCGCCAGUAGCUGCGCCGAUCAGACGUGGCGUUUCCUUUGCAAGCAGGUGGUCCGCGUUAAAGUCCCGAGAGUGGAGACCCCGCCCGCGUCCACGUGCGUUCGCACCGCGUUCAUCCACGAGCCACGGAGUUGAGAGUAGCAGCUGUCCGCGAGCAGACAUCCUGCUCGCGCGCGCUCCGAGUCAGAGGCUCCGCUGCUCCGAAGCGCAGAGAGAGGCGGCGGUCCCACGAGGUCGGUGCUUCGUCCCGCUCGUGGAUCCAGCACGGACCCGCGCGCGCGGCCAGGUGAUCCUC